rnacentral:rRNA from 1 species
UACAGAGGGGGCAAGCGUUGUUCGGAAUUACUGGGCGUAAAGGGCGCGUAGGCGGCCUUCUAAGUCAGACGUGAAAUCCCUCGGCUCAACCAGGGAACUGCGUCUGAGACUGAAAGGCUUGAAUCCGGGAGAGGAAUGCGGAAUUCCAGGUGUAGCGGUGAAAUGCGUAGAUAUCUGGAGGAACACCGGUGGCGAAGGCGGCAUUCUGGACCGGCAUUGACGCUGAGGCGCGAAAGCCAGGGGAGCAAACGGG